rfam:Prevotella oralis ATCC 33269 genomic scaffold SCAFFOLD4, whole genome shotgun sequence.
ACAGUGUUCUGGCUCUGCCGCUGGUUCCGAUGGAACGAGAGGAAAGUCCGGGCAGCAAAGGGCGCUCCACUUCCGAAAAUAGAAGCUAUUGGCAACAAUAGGUGUAGACAGAAGAAAAUAACCGCCAAGGCUAUAUUAACGAUAUUUUGUCGCUAUGCGGCUUGGGUAAGGGUGAGAAGGUGGUGUAAGAGACCACCGGACGACGGGCGAUCGCCGUGCCGUGUCUGCUGGAGGCUGCAAGUUCAUGUAAACCGUCGUUUGAGAAUAGCCCGUUCGAACACAAGUACGACGGAGGGUAGAAUGCUUCAACUGUAGGGCGACUUACAGGGUAGAUAAAUGGCAGGCUCUUUCUUUAUAGCAAUAUGAGGAAAGAUACAGAACCCGGCUUAUAGGAGCGCUGUUUCU